rnacentral:rRNA from 1 species
CCUACGGGAGGCAGCAGUGGGGAAUUUUGCGCAAUGGGGGCAACCCUGACGCAGCAACGCCGCGUGAGUGAUGAAGGCCUUCGGGUCGUAAAGCUCUGUCAGAGGGGAAGAAAUGCAGGUGGUGAACAACCAUUCUGUUUGACGGUACCCUCAAAGGAAGCACCGGCUAACUCCGUGCCAGCAGCCGCGGUAAUACGGAGGGUGCGAGCGUUGUUCGGAAUUAUUGGGCGUAAAGCGCGUGUAGGCGGUUUGUUAAGUCUGAUGUGAAAGCCCCGGGCUCAACCUGGGAAGUGCAUUGGAUACUGGCAGACUUGAGUACGGGAGAGGAGAGUGGAAUUCCCAGUGUAGGAGUAAAAUCCGUAGAUAUUGGGAGGAACACCGGUGGCGAAGGCGGCGUCCUGGACCGUGACUGACGCUGAGGGACGAAAGCCAGGGGAGCAAACGGGAUUAGAUACCCGUGUAGU